GCCAGUGUGGCAUAGUGGUUUCAGUGUUGGACUGUGACUCUGCAGACCAGGGUUCGAUUCCCUGUUCAGCCA
rnacentral:tRNA from 1 species